AACGAACGCUGGCGGCAGGCCUAACACAUGCAAGUCGAACGCUCGUAGCAAUACGGGAGUGGCAGACGGGUGCGUAACGCGUGGGAACAUACCCUUUGGUUCGGAAUAACUCAGGGAAACUUGAGCUAAUACCGGAUACGCCCGAGAGGGGAAAGAUUUAUUGCCGAAGGAUUGGCCCGCGUCUGAUUAGCUAGUUGGUGAGGUAACGGCUCACCAAGGCGACGAUCAGUAGCUGGUCUGAGAGGAUGAUCAGCCACACUGGGACUGAGACACGGCCCAGACUCCUACGGGAGGCAGCAGUGGGGAAUAUUGGACAAUGGGCGCAAGCCUGAUCCAGCCAUGCCGCGUGAGUGAUGACGGCCUUAGGGUUGUAAAGCUCUUUUACCCGGGAAGAUAAUGACGGUACCGGGAGAAUAAGCCCCGGCUAACUUCGUGCCAGCAGCCGCGGUAAU
rnacentral:rRNA from 1 species